GAACGAAGGCUUCGGCCUUAGUGGCGCACGGGUGCGUAACGCGUGGGAAUCUGCCCUUUGGUUCGGAAUAACAGCUGGAAACGGCUGCUAAUACCGGAUGAUGACGAAAGUCCAAAGAUUUAUCGCCAGAGGAUGAGCCCGCGUUGGAUUAGGUAGUUGGUGGGGUAAAGGCCUACCAAGCCGACGAUCCAUAGCUGGUCUGAGAGGAUGAUCAGCCACACUGGGACUGAGACACGGCCCAG
rnacentral:rRNA from 1 species